UGGGGAAUAUUGCACAAUGGGGGAAACCCUGAUGCAGCGACGCCGCGUGGAGGAAGAAGGUCUUCGGAUUGUAAACUCCUGUUGUUGAGGAAGAUAAUGACGGUACUCAACAAGGAAGUGACGGCUAACUACGUGCCAGCAGCCGCGGUAAAACGUAGGUCACAAGCGUUGUCCGGAAUUACUGGGUGUAAAGGGAGCGCAGGCGGGAAGACAAGUUGGAAGUGAAAUCCAUGGGCUCAACCCAUGAACUGCUUUCAAAACUGUUUUUCUUGAGUAGUGCAGAGGUAGGCGGAAUUCCCGGUGUAGCGGUGGAAUGCGUAGAUAUCGGGAGGAACACCAGUGGCGAAGGCGGCCUACUGGGCACCAACUGACGCUGAGGCUCGAAAGUGUGGGUAGCAAACAGGAUUAGAUACCCUGGUAGUCCACACUGUAAACGAUGAUUACUAGGUGUUGGAGGAUUGACCCCUUCAGUGCCGCAGUUAACACAAUAAGUAAUCCACCUGGGGAGUACGACCGCAAGGUUGAAACUCAAAGGAAUUGACGGGGGCCCGCACAAGCAGUGGAGUAUGUGGUUUAAUUCGACGCAACGCGAAGAACCUUACCAAGUCUUGACAUCCUGCGACGAUGCUAGAAAUAGUAUUUUCCUUCGGGACGCAGAGACAGGUGGUGCAUGGUUGUCGUCAGCUCGUGUCGUGAGAUGUUGGGUUAAGUCCCGCAACGAGCGCAACCCUUAUGGUCAGUUACUACGCAAGAGGACUCUGGCCAGACUGCCGUUGACAAAACGGAGGAAGGUGGGGAUGACGUCAAAUCAUCAUGCCCUUUAUGACUUGGGCUACACACGUACUACAAUGGCGUUAAACAAAGAGAAGCAAGACCGCGAGGUGGAGCAAAACUCAGAAACAACGUCCCAGUUCGGACUGCAGGCUGCAACUCGCCUGCACGAAGUCGGAAUUGCUAGUAAUCGUGGAUCAGCAUGCCACGGUGAAUACGUUCCC
rnacentral:rRNA from 1 species